UACAGAGGGUGCAAGCGUUAAUCGGAUUUACUGGGCGUAAAGCGCGCGUAGGUGGCCAAUUAAGUCAAAUGUGAAAUCCCCGAGCUUAACUUGGGAAUUGCAUUUGAUACUGGUUGGCUAGAGUAUGGGAGAGGAUGGUAGAAUUCCAGGUGUAGCGGUGAAAUGCGUAGAGAUCUGGAGGAAUACCGAUGGCGAAGGCAGCCAUCUGGCCUAAUACUGACACUGAGGUGCGAAAGCAUGGGGAGCAAACAGG
rnacentral:rRNA from 1 species